CAUUUUGCGGCGGGCGUGGCGGAUGAUGGCGCGGAGCCGCGCUGCGCAAGGAGAUCAGCUCAGCCUUCACGGGCGGGGCCGAGGCGGGGCUUGGGCCACGCGGCACAUCCCUCACUUCCCCGCGUGUUCAGAGAGAAGCAGAAAGGUUUACUAUCCCACGGGAUAGACCCACCCAGAGCCCAGCCCUGGAACUUCCCCCUUGUAAGGAGUGAUCUUACUUCCCAAGCCAGCUAGGCCCCGAGCGAGCAGAGCUUACCAUCCCGAGACAUCCCCACAGCAAGGCAUUUCUGUA